rnacentral:rRNA from 1 species
GACGAACGCUGGCGGCGUGCUUAACACAUGCAAGUCGAACGGUGACCUCGAGAGCUUGCUCUCGAGUGAUCAGUGGCGAACGGGUGAGUAACACGUGAGUAACCUGCCCCAGACUCUGGAAUAACCCCGGGAAACCGGAGCUAAUACCGGAUACGAGACGGAGUCGCAUGGCUACCGUCUGGAAAGUUUUUCGGUCUGGGAUGGACUCGCGGCCUAUCAGCUUGUUGGUGAGGUAACGGCUCACCAAGGCGACGACGGGUAGCCGGCCUGGGAGGCCGACCGGCCACCAUGGGACUGAGACACGGCCCAGACUCCUCCGGGAGGCAGCAGUGGGGAAUAUUGCACAAUGGGCGAAAGCCUGAUGCAGCGACGCCGCGUGAGGGAUGACGGCCUUCGGGUUGUAGACCUCUUUCAGCAGGGAAGAAGCGAAAGUGACGGUACCUGCAGAAGAAGCACCGGCUAACUACGUGCCAGCCGCCGCGGUAAAAC